rnacentral:lncRNA from 1 species
GUCAAAGUCUAGUUCAGAUGCUUACUUUGUCUCUUCUGACUGUGUUUUUCCUUUUCUUUUUGUAUAGCCUUCCUUAUGAUUUUUUGUUAAAAGUCAAACAUGAUGUAUCAGGUAAUGAGAACUGAGGAAAAUAGGUCUUUAGUAUGAGGUUUUAUGUCAAUCUGCCUAGCAGAUGGGUUGUGCUUCAUGUUUUCCAUAGCUAUAGAUGCCAGAGACUUUAGUUUCCUCAGUGUCUUUGUUUUCUCCACAUUGGAUUUCCCUAAGAAUUCCUUCUUAAAUAGAGUCUAUGUUUUGCAGCUCUUUCCAUUGUAACCCAUUAAAGCUAGAGAGGGAUGUAGG